rnacentral:rRNA from 1 species
UGGGGAAUUUUGGACAAUGGGCGAAAGCCUGAUCCAGCAAUGCCGCGUGUGUGAAGAAGGCCUUCGGGUUGUAAAGCACUUUUGUCCGGAAAGAAAUGGCUCUGGUUAAUACCUGGGGUCGAUGACGGUACCGGAAGAAUAAGGACCGGCUAACUACGUGCCAGCAGCCGCGGUAAUACGUAGGGUCCAAGCGUUAAUCGGAAUUACUGGGCGUAAAGCGUGCGCAGGCGGUUGUGCAAGACCGAUGUGAAAUCCCCGAGCUUAACUUGGGAAUUGCAUUGGUGACUGCACGGCUAGAGUGUGUCAGAGGGGGGUAGAAUUCCACGUGUAGCAGUGAAAUGCGUAGAGAUGUGGAGGAAUACCGAUGGCGAAGGCAGCCCCCUGGGAUAACACUGACGCUCAUGCACGAAAGCGUGGGGAGCAAACAGGAUUAGAUACCCUGGUAGUCCACGCCCUAAACGAUGUCAACUAGUUGUUGGGGAUUCAUUUCCUUAGUAACGUAGCUAACGCGUGAAGUUGACCGCCUGGGGAGUACGGUCGCAAGAUUAAAAGCUCAAAAUGAAUUGACGGGGUCAUAGCUG